rnacentral:rRNA from 1 species
UACGUAGGGCGCAAGCGUUGUCCGGAAUUAUUGGGCGUAAAGAGCUCGUAGGCGGUUUGUCACGUCGGAUGUGAAAGCCCGGGGCUUAACCCCGGGUCUGCAUUCGAUACGGGCAGACUAGAGUGUGGUAGGGGAGAUCGGAAUUCCUGGUGUAGCGGUGAUAUGCGCAGAUAUCAGGAGGAACACCGGUGGCGAAGGCGGAUCUCUGGGCCAUUACUGACGCUGAGGAGCGAAAGCGUGGGGAGCGAACAGG